GUAUCAUCAUAAAUUCAUUAAUAUAGGCUACUCUGACUUUUUACAGGCUUAAUAAUGCUUCAUGAAAACCAGUCAUCAUAUCAGCUUUGUAAACAAAUAUAAAAACAAAUAUAUGUACAAUAAAUAUUAAACAAAAAACUAUAAAUAUACUGACUUUUAAUAAAUGGUUUUGUUUAAAGCAAACUAUUAUACACACUUAAUAAUAUGAUUACAAUAAAUAAUAAUUAACAAUGUAUCAUCAUGAAUUAAUAUACUCUGACUUUUUACAGGCUUAAUAAUGCUUCAGUGUGUGGUACUCCUCAAAACACGGGACAGCACACAAGGGAGUGUUGCAUGGCACACACAUGUGCUUGGUGAGGUGCCUCUGCUUGCCCUUGCGUGUGCUGGAGAGGCAGACCUUGCAGUGCCGCCUGGUCUUGCUGCCCUGGGAAGUGGUCUGAGGGACUUCAGAUGGGAAAUGCCUGGCUGUAAGGCGCAGAGGAGUGUCCAAGGUAGGACGCCCGCCUUUGGUUGGACCUCGCAAUGUGCUGUACUCCUCCAGCAGCCCUCUCAUUAGCACACAGACUGGCUUCAUCAUUGGUUGCCCAGUGAGUUGAUCCAGCUUGCCUGUGGCUGCCAUACCAGUUGGAUGGACUGUGGUGAACUUUGGCAUCCCUUUUCUGUUUCCGCGCACGGUCCCACAAGCUCCAGUGCCAAGUGACAAGAGGUGCUGGAAAAGUGUGGGACUACUGUACCAGUUGUCAACAUAUAGAACAUGACAUUUGCUUAAGUAAGGUGCUAAGAGUGUCAUCACAACGGACCCAGAAAUCCCAAGUCCUGGGUAAUGUUGGAUGUCAGUGGAGGAUCCGGUGUAAAUGAUCAUGUCCUCCACAUAACCAGUUAGCACAUCACACAAAACAAAAAACUUGAUCCCAAAUCUGUGCCGUUUAGAUGGAAUGAACUGACGGAAUGCCAGCCUGCCUUUCCACUUCAUCAGAGACUCAUCCACACACAGAUCCCUGUAUGGCACAAAAGUGCGACGAAAAG